UGUUUUUCUCCGUUAGUUUUCCUACUUGUGGGGGUUGUGUGUGUGUGGGGGGUUGUGUGUGUGUGGGGGGGUUGUGUGUGUGUGGGGGGUUGUGUGUGUGUGGGGGGUUGUGUGUGUGUGGGGGGGUUGUGUGUGUGUGGGGGGGUUGUGUGUGUGUGGGGGGGUUGUGUGCUUUUGUUUUGUUUUUGCUUUUUGGUGUUUUAAGUUUAGAUUUUUGUUUUAGUGUUUCGUUUGUUUUUUAUCUCUUUUCUUUUUUUCAUUUUAUGUGUUUCUUUUCCUUGUAAUGUGUGGGGUUUUUUUUGUGUGUGUAUUUUCAUUUCUUUUGUUUUUUUCCUUUUGCUUUUUUGUUGUUUUUUUUUCUCCUCUCUCCUUUUAAUUUCUAUUUUGUGUCUUUUUUUUUCAUUUGUAUUUUUUGUUUUUUGCUGUGAGGCACUCUGUGGGGCGCUCUGUGUUGUUGGAAUUUCUUUUUUUCUUUUUUGUGUGUCUUUUGGUUUUUUUUGUGGGUUUUUGUUUUAGGUUUUUUUUUUUCAGAUUUGUUGCUUUAAAUGUGAUUAUUUUCAUUUGCUGUUUUUUUUUCCCUUCGUUUUCCUACAUUAUUUUUGUUUCUGAUCUUUUUUUGUGUGUGUUUUUUGUGCUUUUGUUCUGUUUUUGUUUUCUGUUUGCUUGUGUGUGUUAUGAUUAGAUUUUUGUUCUGGUGUUGUUUGUUCUUUUUCAUCUUUUAUUUUUGGUAUUUUAUUUUGUGGGCUUUUGCUUUCCAUUGUUCUUCUUUAUUCGUUUUUGAUUUAUUGCUUCUUUUUCUCUUAGUUUUCCUUUUCUUUUGUGUGUGCAUGUGUGUUUUUGUGUAUUGUGCUUUUGUUUUUGCUUUUUGUGUUUUAUGGCUACAUUAUUGUUUUGCUGUUUCGUUUGGUUUUUUCUUCUCUUUUUUUUUUUGCAUUUCUCGUGUUUCUCUUUCUCCUAAUAUGUGUGAUUUUUGUGUUUUUUCGUUGUUGUUUGGUUUUGCAAUUUUUUAAAAUUAUUUCUUUUUUAAUUUCUGUUCUGUGUGUUUUUUCUCAUUUGUUUUUUCCUUGUUUUUUUCUGUGGAGCGCUUUGUGGGCUUUUUUUUGUGGGCUUUUGGGUUUUUUUUUUUGGUGGGCUUUUGGGUUUUUUUUUUUUUUGGGCUUUUGGGUUGUUUUUUUUGUGGGCUUUUGGGUUGUUUUUUUUGUGGGCUUUUGGGUUGUUUUUUUUGUGGGCUUUUGGGUUGUUUUUUUGUGGGCUUUUGGGUUGUUUUUUUGUGGGCUUUUGGGUUGUUUUUUUUGUGGGCUUUUGGGUUGUUUUUUUUGUGGGCUUUUGGGUUGUUUUUUUUGUGGGCUUUUGGGUUGUUUUUUUUGUGGGCUUUUGGGUUGUUUUUUUUGUGGGCUUUUGGGUUGUUUUUUUUGUGGGCUUUUGGGUUUUUUUGGUGGGUUUUUGUUUUUCGUUUUUUUUUCGUUUUUGAUUUGUU
rnacentral:lncRNA from 7 species